CACUAAAGGCACUGGAAGAAGCCACUAAAGACCUUCUUUAAUAGUUGUAAGAAUCUUGUACAAAGUAUCCAAUGAGGCUUGUCAUGCCGGAGACCUCUGAUUGGCCAAGAAACUUUCUUUCCAGUUCUUAAAACACGCGCUCUGGUUAGUCCAGCUCAGAACUUCCAGUAUUGCAGAUAGGUCUGUGGUCAAGUGCAGUUUUUGGUGCCCGGUUUUUCAGGACCUCUAUCCUGUUGACUGAAUAUUGUGAAGACAGUUUUCGCCGUGGGAAGUGUGUUUUGGCCAAGAAAACUCCAUUUUCUCGACGGCACAUUGGAGAAUACAUAAUAAUCAGUUUCAAGAAUCUGUACUAUUUAUUCAGCUUGUCUACAGCGUUGGGUGUCAACUGAAGGACGAGCAUUGCACCUACAAGAGAGACUAGCUCUGGGGAUUGGAUCAACGGUAGACGAACUUAGGUGUUAUGAACUGACCGAGCACACCGGAACAGCUAGCUCUGGGGAUUGAAUCAACUUAAGAGGAACUUGGGCGGAAGAACAGAGCAAAACGGUCGCCGGAGAAACAACAAAAAU